rnacentral:rRNA from 1 species
GACGAACGCUGGCGGCGUGCUUAACACAUGCCAGUCGAACGGAAAGGCCCUGCUUUUGUGGGGUGCUCGAGUGGCGAACGGGUGAGUAACACGUGAGUAACCUGCCCUUGACUUUGGGAUAACUUCAGGAAACUGGGGCUAAUACCGGAUAGGAGCUCCUGUUGCAUGGUGGGGGUUGGAAAGUUUCGGCGGUUGGGGAUGGACUCGCGGCUUAUCAGCUUGUUGGUGGGGUAGUGGCUUACCAAGGCUUUGACGGGUAGCCGGCCUGAGAGGGUGACCGGCCACAUUGGGACUGAGAUACGGCCCAGACUCCUACGGGAGGCAGCAGUGGGGAAUAUUGCACAAUGGGCGGAAGCCUGAUGCAGCAACGCCGCGUGCGGGAUGACGGCCUUCGGGUUGUAAACCGCUUUCGCCUGUGACGAAGCGUGAGUGACGGUAAUGGGUAAAGAAGCACCGGCUAACUACAUG